rnacentral:lncRNA from 1 species
UUAUUAUUAUUACAUUCAAUCUCAUUAGCAAAUAAUUAGGGAAAUUUUCAGCUUGUAUCCCAUUCCCAAGCUUUCCAAGCUUCCAGGGUAAUAUUAAGCACUAUGCUGUAUAUCUAUGCAUGGCUACCACAUGAUGUGCAAAAUCUCUGUGGCAUUGAAAAUGUUACAUUUGCUUCCUUUUCUUCUCCAAAUAGUAGUGGUUUCUCUGGAAAUUCAGAACUGCCCAAACCAGGUGCCAUAAGCCCAACUCUGGCCACAGAGCAGCAGGGGAGUACAAUGGGCAGUUAGAAGUUUGCCAGAGUAGGAAAUUGCUCAGGCGGGUCUCACCCGAAGUUCGAAUCAUA